rnacentral:rRNA from 1 species
CCUACGGGACGCAGCAGUGGGGAAUAUUGCGCAAUGGGGGGAACCCUGACGCAGCAACGCCGCGUGCAGGAAGAAGGUCUUCGGAUUGUAAACUGUUGUCGCAGGGGAAGAAGACAGUGACGGUACCCUGUGAGAAAGUCACGGCUAACUACGUGCCAGCAGCCGCGGUAAUACGUAGGUGACAAGCGUUGUCCGGAUUUACUGGGUGUAAAGGGCGCGUAGGCGGAUGUGCAAGUCAGUCGUGAAAUACCGGGGCUCAACCCCGGGGCUGCGAUUGAAACUGCACACCUUGAGUAUCGGAGAGG